rnacentral:lncRNA from 1 species
UGUGACUCACAUAGUCUGAUGAGGAAAUCCCAACUGAAAUUUACUUCUUUCUUCACCCAACUUGACCUAACUUCAAAGCCUAUAAAAACUACCUUUCAGAAGACUUUUAAGAGAGAGAAAUACCAUAUUGACGUUUGAGAGUCAAGCCACAGAGUCAUUGAAGGAAUUUGAAGGAUUCAAGGAGAUUUGGAGAUCAAGAAUACAAUCCUUGGUUUUUUCUAUCUUUUUGUUAUUCUUUUAUUCUCUUGGUUUUAAUGUUUAAAUUUUAUUCAAUGAUGAUGUGUGAUUUGAUGGGGAACUAAAUUGUUAAUCUAAGAUUAUGAUUGAACUCAAUACGUAGUCUGAAUUAUUUAUUUCUCUUUUACUUAUGUUUGAUAGAUUUAAGUUGUUAAUUUUAUUCUAUUCUUAAUGCUUCUAGUUGACUGGCAGUUUAGGUAGGUUAAACCUUAAUGAAAGAGAUUUAGGUAGACCUUGAAUAGAAUAGCGUAUGAUUGAAUGCACUUAGUUGAUUAGGUGAUUGAUUUGCAUAUAGGAUAGAUAUACACCUAUAAUCCAUAUGUAGCCAAAAUUAGAGCACAAACUUAAUGAAUCUUUCUACAAUAUAAUUUGCAUAGACAUAUAGUAAAUUAAUUGAAAAAUGUAUUUUUAUGAGAAACUCGACAAAAACUUGUAAAUAAUUUAAGACUCUAGGUUAGCAACUUAAUCUAUUAAACUAAGUUAAGAUAGAAAGACAAUAUUCAGAUGAAAUAUUGAAGAUAUCAUAAUUUUAGAUCUGGUAGUUGCUCAAAUUUAAUAAAGUAAAUUUACUAAUAGAUUUUAGAUUAGUUUUAAUUAUAGUUUUUAGUUUAUUAAUUUAAAUUUUUCUUGUUUUAAUUAUUUAGAUAAAAUUAAGGUGUGUUAAUUUUAGUAGUUAAUAAUAAGGAUUAAUUCAAUUCUACUCAUCUCUAUAUUAUCUUUGCAAUACGCGUACUUAUGUGAGUAAAAAAUUAAACAACACCACCCCUACCAAUUUUGGUGACUAAAAAAAAAAUGUCACAUAAUACCUUUUGAAGUAGCCGAAUUUGGGUGACAAGGGAAUCACCUCCAACUACCUUAAACUCGAGAUAUGAAUUAGAAGUGAGUAAAUGGGUGGAUUAGGUAGUUUGGUCCACCAUACCUAAGAAUCAAAUGGACCAAUCAUUUUUAAAAAAUCGAUCAAAUAUAAUGGAAGACCAAAUAGACCAAACAUAGAAUUGAUUUGGUUGAUCCGGUUUUGAACCAAUGGAUCAAAAUUUUAUCACCUUUUGGUUACAAAUUAUAAUAUUAAAACUUAUAAACUUCAUCCAUAAUUAUAUAUAUAUGAAAUUAAUUAUAUAACUUAUAUGUUAUAAUAUUUUAUAUUGAAGUUUGUAUAAAUAAUAACUAAUUAUAAACAAUAUGUUAUAAAAUCUAAAGUUAUAGCUAAUAAACUUAUUAAGCAUAAUCAUAUAAAUAAAAUUUAUUAUAAGUUAUAGUAAUACUUAUAUAUAAAUUAAAUAUAUGUAUAUAUAUAAUAUAUUACAUUAUUAUAUAUAUGUAAAAUAUAUGAUACAAAUUAUAUGUUAAACUGUUUUAUAUAAUUAUAUAAAUAAAAUCAAUUAUAAGUUAUAGUAAUGCUUAUGUAUAAAUUAAAUAUAUGACUUUAUUAUAUAUAUAUAUAUAAUUAAUGACAUAACUUAUAUGUUAUAAUGUUUUAUAUCAACGUUUGUAUAAAUAAUAACUAAUUAUAAACAAUAUGCUAUAAAAUCUAAGGUAAUAACUAAUAAAAUUAUUAAAUAUAAUCAUAUAAAUAAAGUUUAUUAUAAUUAUAGUAAUGCUUAUGUAUAUGUAUAUAUAAUGUAUUUAUACAAUUAUAUAUAUAUAUAUAUAUAUUCAUACCAUUUUAUAUUUCGAAACAUUACUAAAGAGUAAUAAUUAUAACAUAAUAAUAUGUAAGAUAUUUACUAUUAUAUAUUAUAAUAUUAACAUAUAACUUAUAUUAUUUAAAAUAUAUAACUUGUAAUUUCAUAUUAAUACAGAUUUAUAAAUAAAUAAAUAUAUAUAACUAAUAUUAAAUUACUAUGAUUAUGAUUUGUAUACAUACAUAUAAUACUUUAAUAUAUUUUAAAUAUAUUAUUAAUUAAGUUUACUAUCAAUUCUUCUUAAUAUAUAAAAAAAUAUUAUAUAUAUGACUAUAUACAACAAUAUAUAAAAAAUUAGUUUUAUUUUUUAGGUGGAUUGGUCCAAAAAUUUUAAAACCGAGAAUCAAUCAAAAAAUCAAUUGGACCAAUUGAUCUAAUGGAUCAAUUAGACUGAACUAUUUUACUCAAAUCGUAUUUGAUUUAAGUAGGUAAUUAAUUUGGAUUGGUUUUACUCAUUACUAAUAUGAAUUCUCGAGCUGUAUUAUAAAUAGCAACCUGGAGGAGGAGAAAAGGGGACCCCAGAAAGGUGUUUUCGGCGGUUUCACAGAAAAUUGUGAUGAAAAAUAGCUUUCAUUCCCAAAUAAAAGGAGCAGCCAAACAAUAAAUUAGGUGAAAAAGAGUUUUAUUCCGAAACCGAAAAGAGCAGCCAAACUCGAUGCCAAACAGAAGUGCGUCCAUGGAACUUUGACAAAACUGGUGGUGGAAAAGCUCUUUUACGAAUGGUGUUUGGCUUUGAGCAGCCUAACUCAAUGCCAAACAGAAGUGCUUCCCCAUAGUUUGGUAAAAAUUGGGGAAAAGAGCUUUUAUUUCCAAAGGACGAGGUGUUUGGCUUUUGGCUUUCGGCUUUAAGCAGCCUAACUCAAUGCCAAGCGAAGGAUUUUAAUGAAUUAAAAAGUUCUUGAAAUAUUUAAAAAACAUUUAAAUAAAAAUCUUUAUUUUCUUAUUAUAUUUAAUCAAAAUUUUAUAUUUUUAUUUUAAAUUAAAUAAAUAGUUACAAUUAAUCAUAAAUUA